GCGUCCUUGGUGUAACGGUAACACACAGUCGAUGAACACUUGAUUGGUCCGGGGUUCGACUCCUCGAGGAUGCC